GAGAGCUUUUGGUCAUUCCAUUUAACAAAUAUUUACAGGCCCUUCUAUUUCUUUCAAGUUGCCUUGGAGACCUGGGUUCCUGAUGUGUUCUCACAAUGGGAAAGCACGUUACCCUUGGUUUCGGUUGAUGGCUGAGUUCUUUAAGCCACCAAUGAUCGCUCUUGACACUGCGAUAGGCAAACUGGGGAGUGUGAAAUUCUGGAAAUGUGGGAUGGAGAAGAGCACCGACAGUUUCUCUGGAGCAUGCGAGCAGCAGUCUGGGAUACUUCUUUUCACUAUGAGAACAUGAUGAUUUUGAUAUCAUGGUUUCCCAGCACAUGAAAUCAACAUAGGAUACCAGCCCACUGGUACUGCCUUGCAGGUGUGUUCAGUGUCAUCAUUUCUACAGAGAGAAUAUGGGGCCGUAGGGGUGAUUUAGGGUUGGGGUUUGUCACAGUAAAUGGCCAAGGGGCUGACAGAACCUGGAAGGGGGGUGAGAGAAAUACUGAAGGAGGUGGCUCUGGAGUUCAGACAGGCUGGUAAAUUCAGAGCCUCCACGUGGAAGUAAUAGACUAGGUGAUCAGCCAAGCAACGAGAAGUCCCGGAGAAGGCAGAGUCUGUUCACUGGAUGAGGGAGAAGGGUCUGGAGUCGGAAGAGGAGAGCCCCAGACUCAAGAUCUAGUCUGAGGAGCGGCGCCAUGUGAGGACGACGGAUUCAGGAUGCGGCUGGCCGUGAGAGGGACGCGAAGGAAAAUGGAGCUUGUUCAGAGGAGAGAAGUGACCUUGCGGGAGGAAUGACGAGACUUGUCACCUGAGAGAUGGAUGUGUAGCUGGGAGAAAAGAAGACUCAACAGAGUGAGGAGGGCCGCCCUCAAAUAUACGAAAGAGCAUCACUUGGAAGGGCUGCGUCAUAAAAGGCCGAGCUUGCACUUGAUGUUGGAGUCUGAUUAUCAUGUCAAUCUGACUACCCUGAGGCCGUCAUGCUGUGAGGAAGCCCAAGCCACCUGGAGAAAUCACAUGGAGGUGUAUCAGUUGACAGCGCCAGUGGAGGUCCCAGUGGAUAGCCAGCAUUAGCCAUCAGACAUGUUGUACCUCCAGAUGUCCCCGAUCCCCAGUCAUCAAAUCACUCAGCCGUGAGUCACCCUCAGAUGUUGCAUCUUCCCAGCUGAGGCUCCAGACAUCAUGAAGCAGACACAAGCUGUUUCACUAUGCUUUGCCCAGAUUCCUGACCCACAGCAUCUGUGAGCCUAAUAAAAAGGUCCUUUUAAUUGUCUAA